rnacentral:lncRNA from 1 species
UGCCUGCCCAGGUGAACCCAGCACCCCCCUUUCUGUGCGGAACAGCAAUAAAAUGAACAAAUAAAAAAAAUCCCCAAAACCCAACAACUAAAAAAGCCUGGAUGUGCCAAAAGGUCCUGCGAGGGUAGGGAUGGGAAAUGGAAAAGCCACGGGGAAAGGUCUUGGCCGUGGAAGGGGGGAACCCAACGCUUUGGAAAUCGUAGGAGAACAGGUAGUAGAGCCGUGGACUGCCCUCAGAUGGUGCGGGGGUUGUACUCUGGCAGCUUGUGCAGCUUCUCCUUCUCAGCAUCGCUCUCAUCACGGGCAAUCACCAGUGAGUGGGCAUAGCCCAUGGCCACCUGCUCCGUGUAGAUCCCAUCCAAGGUCUUCACCUCUUGGGCAGCCGUUGAUGACUUAGGCUUGUGGUCCCCAUAGCCCAGCUCUCCAAAGGUGGGAGAUGGGCCCCAGCUGAUGGUGCUCUCAUCUGCCGCCACGAUGAUGCUGCUCUUUCCACAGGCCAGGCUGCGGAUCUUCCAGCCACACAAGUCCUGCACUGCUUUUGGGUACAUGGUAGACUCACGGGAGGUGUUGGUGGCACCCCAGAAAAACAAGCCACCUGUCUCACUGACAGCAAAGGAGCAGGUGUAGCCAGCGUAGAUCUGUGCAGCUCCUCGGCCUGGAAAGUCAAAAAGCUUGACCAAGCGUGGCACCAUCUCAUCCUUCUGCUCUGCGUGGCCGAGCCGCCCAUAGCCACCAAAGCCCCAGGAGAAAACACGCUUCUGGGAGUCCAGGACAAGCGUGUGGUUGGCCCCGCAUGCCACAUCCCGCACCACCACAUUGGGGACAGGCAGGAUCUGCCCAUCUUUGGUCUUCUCAAUGAAGAUGGCCACGCGGCGUGGCACCAGCUCGCAGUCGUACUCUAUGCGCUGUGCUCGGGCGAUGAACUUCCCAUCUGAGUUGUGCCCCAGCUGCCCGUACUCUGGGCACCCAAAGGAGUAGAGGUUUCCUUUGCAGUCCAUGAUCAUGCUGAACUCAGCCCCACAGGCCAUUUUGGUGAUGGGCUGCCCAUUGUACAUGAUCUGCGUAGGGCUUGGAACAGCAUCUGUUUGGUUCCCAAGACCAAGCUGCCCCAUUUUGUUCUCCCCAAAAGCAUAUACGGAGCCAGUCUCUGUGAGAGCCAGCGUGUGGUUCCGGCCACACGCCGCCAGCACGAUGGCCUCGCUGCCCAGCACCUCGAUGAGCUUGGGGGCUUCCACACGCUUUGUGUCCCCAUGGCCCAGCUGCCCCUUCUCAUUGCGACCCCAGCUCCACAGCUUGCCCUCAGCAGUGAUGAGGAGGCUAUGAGCCGCACAUGGUCCCGAAACCACACUCCGCACCUGAACACCUGAGAGACACCCAUACCUGUGUGGCCCCCAUAAAUUCUGGCCCAGGUUUCGAUAUGCGGCUUGCUGCUUAGGCACUUCUUUGCGGCCAAUCAGGUCCCAGUUGGUGGCCCCAAAGAUCAGGAGCUGUCCUCUGCACUUGGAGCCCUCAAGUUUGAUGCGCUCCUUGCUGUGCUCGGGCUCGCAGAUGACCACCGCCUGUCCCCGCGCCGCACUGCCGGGCCCGGGGCCGAGAGCCGAACCCGAGCCGGGCGCUGCGGGCCGGCCGGGCCUCCUCCCUCCUCCUCCUGGGCUGCCGUCCCGCGGCCUCCGCUCCCGGGGCGCCUCCUCGUCGCUGCUACCGCCGCUGCUGCCGCCGCCUCCUCCGCCGUUACGAGGCCUCCGCCUCCCCCCCGCCGCCCCGGGCCUCCUCCUGCCCGGGCCGGGCUCCCAGGGCGGCCCCGCCGCCUUCCUCCGGGGCAUGGCGCCUGCUUAGGGGGGGCCCCGAUUGUGCCGCCGCCGCCUUCGAGCCCUCUGUGGCUGUUUGCUGGGGGGGUUCCGGGGGGCGAUUUUUUUGUAUGGCCGAGUCGGGUGGGAAGGGGGAGAUUUUGGUGGGGGGGGGAAGCGCCAAAAAAU